UGGCGAUAGAGCGAGAUGCUGGCUUAGUAAAUAAGUAAAUAAUAAACCUGCAUUGCACUUCGUGUCUCCUGAGAUGGCAACUUGGGAACAAACUCUGGAAGGUGAUUGUGGAAGGACUGGGGCUACUGGUUUGCCUUCCUGAUGUCUAGUUCACCCUGAAUCUGUUCCUCUGCACUAUGACGUCCCUCCUGGCUCAUUAAGAGCAUCGUACAUGCAGGGUGCUGUGGCUCACACCAGUAAUCCCAGCUACUUGGGAGGCUCAGGCAGGAGGAUCCCUUGAGGCCAGGAAUUUGAGGCCAGCAUAGGCCACAUGGUGAGACGUCAUCUCUA